UUUGUUUCCUCAUCGAAGUUAUUUGUUUGUUAACCCGUCGGCUGCAACCCCUUCAAUCCCUACCCAUAUAUCCUUGGAAUGGGCCCACUCUUAUUUUGAGGUUAAUCCUGUGCUCCUAUUCCAUGGACGGAAUCCAUUGGUAGAAACUGACGUGCUGACAUUCAUCAAUAAAGCUCACAUGCCUGCCAUCCUUCCGUCGCCUCGAGGCAUGGGGGAGUUGUGCGUGCUCCAGCUCCGCGGCCAGCGUAAUUCGACUAUCCAACCGACGGCUUGUCAACUCACCCCUCGCUGACUUAUACCCUCAAAACGAACAGAAUAGAAUUAAUUUCAAUUUUGUUAUCAAAAACAGAAUAUAUUAAUUUCCUUUAUGGUAA